AGAAGUGAGAAUGCCGGUAUGAGUAGCGAAAGACAGGUGAGAAUCCUGUCCACCGAAUGACUAAGGUUUCCUGGGGAAGGCUCGUCCUCCCAGGGUUAGUCGGGACCUAAGUCGAGGCCGAGAGGCGUAGACGAUGGACAACAGGUUGAUAUUCCUGUACCAGUUGAUUGUGCUUGAGUGAUGGAGUGACGCAGAAGGCUAAGCGAUCCGGACGAUUGGAAGUGUCCGGCCAAGCAGCAAGUCAGUUGAUGAGUCAAAUGCUUAUCAGCGGGUUGACAAGCUGUGAUGGGGAGCGAAAUUAUAGUAGCGAAGUCGUUGAUGUCACGCUGCCGAGAAAAGCUUCUAGCGAAUAAUCAACUGCCCGUACCGCAAACCGACACAGGUAGUCGAGGAGAGUAUCCUAAGGUGAGCGAGCGAACUCUCGUUAAGGAACUCGGCAAAAUGACCCCGUAACUUCGGGAGAAGGGGUGCUGAUCGCAAGAUCAGCCGCAGUGAAAAGGCCCAGGCGACUGUUUAUCAAAAACACAGGUUUCUGCAAAAUCGUAAGAUGAAGUAUAGGGGCUGACGCCUGCCCGGUGCUGGAAGGUUAAAAGGAAGAGUUAGCUUCGGCGAAGCCCUGAAUUGAAGCCCCAGUAAACGGCGGCCGUAACUAUAACGGUCCUAAGGUAGCGAAAUUCCUUGUCGGGUAAGUUCCGACCCGCACGAAAGGCGUAACGAUCUGGGCACUGUCUCAACGAGAGACUCGGUGAAAUUGAAUUGCCUGUGAAGAUGCAGGCUACCCGCGACAGGACGGAAAGACCCCAUGGAGCUUUACUGUAGCUUGAUAUUGAGUGCUUGUACUGCUUGUACAGGAUAGGUAGGAGCCAUAGAAGCCAGGACGCUAGUUUUGGCAGAGGCGUUGGUGGGAUACUACCCUUGCAUUAUGAUCACUCUAACCCGCACCACUGAUCGUGGUGGGAGACAGUGUCAGGUGGGCAGUUUGACUGGGGCGGUCGCCUCCCAAAAGAUAACGGAGGCGCCCAAAGGUUCGCUCAGAAUGGUUGGAAAUCAUUCGCAGAGUGUAAAGGCACAAGCGAGCUUGACUGCGAGACAGACAGGUCGAGCAGGGACGAAAGUCGGGCUUAGUGAUCCGGUGGUUCCGCAUGGAAGGGCC
rnacentral:rRNA from 1 species